rnacentral:rRNA from 1 species
GACGAACGCUGGCGGCGUGCUUAACACAUGCAAGUCGAACGAAGAGCGAUGGAAGCUUGCUUCUAUCAAUCUUAGUGGCGAACGGGUGAGUAACGCGUAAUCAACCUGCCCUUCAGAGGGGGACAACAGUUGGAAACGACUGCUAAUACCGCAUACGAUCUAAUCUCGGCAUCGAGGAUAGAUGAAAGGUGGCCUCUACAUGUAAGCUAUCACUGAAGGAGGGGAUUGCGUCUGAUUAGCUAGUUGGAGGGGUAACGGCCCACCAAGGCGAUGAUCAGUAGCCGGUCUGAGAGGAUGACCGGCCACAUUGGGCCUGAGACACGGCCCAGACUCCUACGGGAGGCAGCAGUGGGGAAUCUUCCGCAAUGGACGAAAGUCUGACGGAGCAACGCCGCGUGAGCGAUGACGGCCUUCGGGUUGUAAAGCUCUGUUAAUCGGGACGAAAGGCCUUCUUGCGAAUAGUGAGAAGGAUUGACGGUACCGGAAUAGAAAGCCACGGCUAACUGCGUG